rnacentral:rRNA from 1 species
CCUAACACAUGCAAGUCGAACGGUAACAGGAAGCAGCUUGCUGCUUUGCUGACGAGUGGCGGACGGGUGAGUAAUGUCUGGGAAACUGCCUGAUGGAGGGGGGAUAACUACUGGAAACGGUAGCUAAUACCGCAUAACGUCGCAAGACCAAAGAGGGGGACCUUCGGGCCUCUUGCCAUCGGAUGUGCCCAGAUGGGAUUAGCUAGUAGGUGGGGUAACGGCUCACCUAGGCGACGAUCCCUAGCUGGUCUGAGAGGAUGACCAGCCACACUGGAACUGAGACACGGUCCAGACUCCUACGGGAGGCAGCAGUGGGGAAUAUUGCACAAUGGGCGCAAGCCUGAUGCAGCCAUGCCGCGUGUAUGAAGAAGGCCUUCGGGUUGUAAAGUACUUUCAGCGGGGAGGAAGGCGAUAAGGUUAAUAACCUUGUCGAUUGACGUUACCCGCAGAAGAAGCACCGGCUAACUCCGUGCCAGCAGCCGCGGUAAUACGGAGGGUGCAAGCGUUAAUCGGAAUUACUGGGCGUAAAGCGCACGCAGGCGGUCUGUCAAGUCGGAUGUGAAAUCCCCGGGCUCAACCUGGGAACUGCAUUCGAAACUGGCAGGCUAGAGUCUUGUAGAGGGGGGUAGAAUUCCAGGUGUAGCGGUGAAAUGCGUAGAGAUCUGGAGGAAUACCGGUGGCGAAGGCGGCCCCCUGGACAAAGACUGACGCUCAGGUGCGAAA